GACGAACGCUGGCGGCGUGCUUAACACAUGCAAGUCGAGCGGAAAGGCCCUUCGGGGUACUCGAGCGGCGAACGGGUGAGUAACACGUGAGUAACCUGCCCCAGACUUUGGGAUAACCCUCGGAAACGGGGGCUAAUACCGGAUACGACACAGCUUCGCAUGGGGUCUGUGUGGAAAGUUUUUCGGUUUGGGAUGGGCUCGCGGCCUAUCAGCUUGUUGGUGGGGUGAUGGCCUACCAAGGCGACGACGGGUAGCCGGCCUGAGAGGGCGACCGGCCACACUGGGACUGAGACACGGCCCAGACUCCUACGGGAGGCAGCAGUGGGGAAUAUUGCACAAUGGGCGGAAGCCUGAUGCAGCGACGCCGCGUGAGGGAUGACGGCCUUCGGGUUGUAAACCUCUUUCAGCAGGGACGAAGCGUAAGUGACGGUACCUGCAGAAGAGGCGCCGGCCAACUACGUG
rnacentral:rRNA from 1 species